UCUGCAGUCCAUGAGGACCUGAUGAUAUCCGGUGUUGCUGGCACUUGAGGAGCGGGACACUAAUCUGGACCCCUAUAAGAAAUCCAGCUAUGCCCUCAGACGAACCAUCAAACAAGCAAAGUGUCAAUACAGGAUUAAGAUUGAAUCGUACUACACCUUCUCUGAUGCUCGUCGGAUGUGGCAGGGCUUGGAAACUAUUACGGACUACAAAGGGAAACCCAGCCGCGAGCUGCCCAGUGACGCGAGCCUACCAGACGAGCUAAAUGCCUUUUAUGCUCGCUUCAAGGCAAGCAAUACAUAAGCAUGCACGAGAUUACCAGCUGUUCUGGAUGACUGUGUGAUAUUGCUCUCUGUAGCUGAUGUGAGCAAGAUCUUUAAACAGGUCAACGUUCACAAAGACACGGGGCCAGAUGGAUUACCAGGAUGUGUACUCAAAGCAUGCGCAGACCAACUGGCAAGUGUCUUCACUGACAUUUUCAAUCUCUCCCUGACUGAGUCUGUAAUACCUACAUGUUUCAAGCAGACCACCAUGGUUCCUGUGCCCAAGGAAGUAAAGGUAACCUGCCUAAAUGAUUACCGCCCCGUAACAAUCACGUCGGUAGCCAUGAUGUGCUUUGAAAGGCUGGUCAUGGCUCCCAUCAACAGCAUCAUCACGGAAACCCUAGACCCACUCCAAUUCGCAUACGGCCCCAAAAGAUCCACAGAUGAUGCAAUCUCAAUCGUACUCCACACUGCCCUUUCCCACCUGGACAAAAGGAAGACCUAUGUGAGAAUGCUAUUCAUUGACUCAUUGUGCCCACGAAGCUCAUCACUAAGCUAAGGACCCUGGGACUAAACACCUCCCUCUGCAACUGGAUCCUGGACUUCCUGACGGGCCGCCCCCAGGUGGUAAGGGUAGGCAACAACACGUCUGCCGCGCUGAUCCUCAACACUGGGGCCCCUCAGUCGUGUGUACUUAGUCCCCUCCUGUACUCCCUGUUCACCCACGACUGCGUGGCCAAACACCAUCAUUAAGUUUGCUGAUGACACAACAGUGGAAGGCCUGAUCACCGACAUCAAUGAGACAGCCUAUAGGGACGAGGUCAGAGAACUGUCAGUGUGGUGCCAGGACAACAACCUCUCCCUCAAUGUGAGCAAGACAAAGGAGCUGAUCGUGGACUACAGGUAAAUUUGGGCCGAACAGGCUCCCGUUAACAUCAACGGGACUGUAGUGGAGCGGUUCAAGAGUUUCAAGUUCCUUGGUGUCCAAAUCACCAAUGAUCUAUCAUGGUCCUAACACACCAAGACAGUCGUGAAGAGGGCAUGACAAAACCUUUUCCCCCUCAGGAGACUGAAAAGAUUUGGUAUGAGUCCCCAGAUCUUCAAAAAGUUCUACAGCUGCACCAUCGAGAUCAUCCUGACCGGUAGCAUCACUGCCUGAACGGCAAGAGGUACCGGAGCGCCAAGCCUAGGACCAAAAGGCUCCUCAACAGCUUCUACCCCCAAGCCAUAAGACUGCUGAACAAUUAAUCAAACUGCCACGGGAUUAUUACAUUGACACCCCACCCCCUCCUCCAUUUGUUUUAUUGCUACUUGCUGUUUAUUAUCUAUGCAUAGUCACUUCACCCCUACCUACAUGUACAAAUUGCCUCUAACCUAUACCCCCGCACACUGACUCUGUACCGCUACCCCUUGUAUAUAGCCUUGUUAUUGUUAUGUUAUUGUGUUACUUAUUUUUUACUUUAGUUUGUUUGGUAAAUGUUUUUUUUCUUUUGUUUUUUAAACUUUUUUACUGCUUUUUUCUCCCCAAUUUUGUGGUAUCCAAUUGGUAGUAGCUACAGUCUUGUCUCAUCGCGGCAACUCCUGUAUGGACUCGGGAGAGGUGAAGGUCGCGAGCCAAGCAUCCCCCGAAACACAACCCAACCUAGCCGCACUGCUUCUUGACACAACGCACAUCCAACCCGGAAGCCAGUCGCACCAAUGUGUCGGAGGAAACACUGUACACCUGGCGACCUGGUCAGCGUGCACUGUGCCUGGCCCGCCACAGGAGUCGCUAGUGCGUGAUGAGACAAGGAUAUCCCUGCUGGCCAAACCCUCCCUAACCCGGACGACGCUAGGCCAAUUGUGUCGCGGCCAGCUGCGACAGAGCCUGGGCUCGAACCCAGAUUCUCUAGUGGCACAGCUAGACCACUGCGCCACCCGGGAGGCCCUUGUAAAUAUUUUCUUAACUCUUCUUGAAAUGCACUGUUGGUUAAGGGCUUGUAAGUAAGCAUUUCAAGGUAACUUGUUGUAUUUGGCGCAUGUGACAAAGUUUGAUUUGAUUUUCCUCUCCUGAAAACCCUGAGCAGUCGAGAGAUGGUGAACUCUCAGAAAUUGAACCGGAGAAAAAUUAUUUGUAAGAUCCUGCGCUGAGCGGUGAGGUGAAGGCUUCCAAGCCUCAACCGAAUCACCAGGAAAAUACUAGAGAUGACUUGGGCCCAGUGGGAGUACAAUUCUUGAGGAGCAUGCUAACAGAUACAUUGUGAUAUAGCUAGUUAGCAUUGGCUUGCGAAACUAGCUCUAACUUCCAUACUGGACAUAAAAAUGGUAUCCACUAGUUCAUCUGCCUGGGGAAGUAGUAUCCUGAAGUAUCCAUUUAAAUUGUACUGUACAGAUGGAAUGGAAAUCCCAGAAGAUUGAAUUGGUAGUAGCAGCAGAGAAGUGUUUGGGUGUCAUAUUUGAAUGUAGAAGGAACUACGGGGGUUUUGAGAGAAGGGGUUCCAGCCUCCCAGACUGAUGGUGUUGAUGUAGGACCUGUUAGGGCCAAAGUAGUGUGAAGGGGUGGUGGAGUGUGUUGAGAGAUAAUGCUAUAUAGAGAGCAAUUUUAAUGGUGUCUUUUCAUAGGCACUAACACCCUCCAUGGUUUGUUGUAAGGCCUAUAGGGAAAUUAAUGGAGUUUUUGUAGGGUUUUUGGAUAAAUGCUGGAAAUAAGGUCUGUGGUAAACACAGGUUGUGUCUGAAUACCCAUACUAGUGUACUAUAUACUUAAACUGCAUGGUAUGUACUCAUUUCAGUGCUAGAGGCGUCACUACAGACCCUGGUUCGAUUCCAGGCUGUAUCACAACCAGCCGUGAUUGGGAGUCCCAAAGGGUAGCGCACAAUUGGCCCAGCGUCGUCUGGGUUAGGCCAUCAUUGUAAAUAAGAAUUUGUUCUUAACAGACUUGCCUAGUUAAAUAAAGGUAUAAAACAAAUUGUCUCAUACUAUUUAUGACAAUGUUUAGUAAAAAAGUAUGCGUUAUGCCACAGGCUUAGCAUACUCCUUUGAUAUGGCUUCGCAGAUAUAAACCAGAAAGUGAAUCCUCAAAAAUCUCUGGAUACACCGUUCUAAAUCCAAAUAUCAUCCCUAUUUAUAAA
ensembl:lncRNA